rnacentral:lncRNA from 1 species
AUGUCUAAUGGAGCAGAAACUGGAAUAAGGUGGAAACGGGGUGAAGAGCCCCGGCUGAGGGUGCUCCGCCUGGGAGCAGAGAAAACAGCCGGCGGAUGGGCAAGGGGAGACUCCAAGGAGAUGGGAAGAGAGGCGCAAGGCCCAGAAGACGAGGCAACGGGGUGCCACCUGGGGCAGAGCAGAGAGGAGGCGCCUGUGUGGCUUCUACCUGCAGGCGGGCGGGACGGGCCGCUCAGAGGAGAGAACUGAGACCUGGAGAAGUGAUAUAAGUUUGUAAGUGGCAAAGCUGGUAUUCAGUGACAACUCUGACUGGAAGCCCAAUCUCUCUUGCUUUUUCUUUAAAGCAUUUAUUUACUCAAAUAAUCUCUACACCCAGCAUGGGGCUCGAACUCACGACCCUGAG